rnacentral:rRNA from 1 species
GCAAAGGUAGCAUAAUCAUUUGCCCCUUAAUUAGGGGCUGGCAUGAACGGAUUAACUCUUCUUACCUGUCUCAAACCCCCACACGUAAAUUUUCAUUUAGACGAACAGACCUAAAUCCAAUAGUAGGACCAAAAGACCCUAUAGCGCUUGAUAUUAUAGCUGAGCCCCUAUCACCUCGAAUAUUUUAUUGGGGCGAUAAAAGAUCUUAAUCAUCUUACACCUUACUUACAACCAAUUAUUUCAUAACCCAAGCUACAUGAACAAGUAAAAGCAACCUUAGGGAUAACAGUCUAAUUUUUCUUGAUAGUUCACAUUAAAAGAACAGCUUGGCAC